rnacentral:siRNA from 1 species
UGGGUGGUAUCAUACUAUGUG